rnacentral:rRNA from 1 species
AGCUGCAGAAGAAGCACCGGCUAACUCCGUGCCAGCAGCCGCGGUAAUACGGAGGGUGCGAGCGUUAAUCGGAAUUACUGGGCGUAAAGCGCAUGCAGGUGGUUUGUUAAGUCAGAUGUGAAAGCCCGGGGCUCAACCUCGGAAUUGCAUUUUGAAACUGGCAAACUAGAGUACUGUAGAGGGGGUAGGAAUUUCAGGUGUAGCGGUGAAAUAGCGUAGAGAUCUGAAGGAAUACCGGUGGCGAAGGCGGCCCCCUCGGACAGAUACUGACACUCAGAUGCGAAAGACGUGGGGAGGCAAACAGGAUUAGAUACCCUCGGUAG